UACGUAGGGUGCGAGCGUUAAUCGGAAUUACUGGGCGUAAAGCGUGCGCAGGCGGUUUUGUAAGCCAGAUGUGAAAUCCCCGGGCUUAACCUGGGAAUGGCAUUUGGGACUGCAAGGCUUGAGUUUGGGAGAGGGACGCGGAAUUCCAGGUGUAGCGGUGAAAUGCGUAGAUAUCUGGAGGAACACCGGUGGCGAAGGCGGCGUCCUGGACCAACACUGACACUGAGGAGCGAAAGCCAGGGGAGCAAACGGG
rnacentral:rRNA from 1 species